rnacentral:rRNA from 1 species
GAUGAACGCUAGCGGCAGGCCUAAUACAUGCAAGUCGGACGGGAUUGAGGAGCUUGCUCUUCAUGAGAGUGGCGCACGGGUGCGUAACACGUAUGUAACCUACCUUGUUCAGGGGGAUAGCCUCUCGAAAGAGAGAUUAAGACCGCAUAACAUUGCGAUGUGGCAUCACAUUGUAAUCAAAUAUUUAUAGGAACAAGAUGGGCAUGCGGAACAUUAGCUAGUUGGUAAGGUAACGGCUUACCAAGGCUACGAUGUUUAGGGGAUCUGAGAGGAUGACCCCCCACACUGGUACUGAGACACGGACCAGACUCCUACGGGAGGCAGCAGUAAGGAAUAUUGGUCAAUGGACGGAAGUCUGAACCAGCCAUGCCGCGUGCAGGAAGACGGCCCUAUGGGUUGUAAACUGCUUUUGCAGGGGAAUAAACCUCGAUACGUGUAUCGAGCUGAAUGUACUCUGAGAAUAAGGAUCGGCUAACUCCGUGCCAGCAGCCGCGGUAACAC